rnacentral:lncRNA from 1 species
AUUUUAAUGUUUCUCAAUUUAAUUUUUGUUUCGUUUAUCAAAUAUAACAAAAUGAUCAAUUGUAAUUACACUUAAUGCAUAUAAUUCCCAUUUUUUAUAUAACUUAUUACUACAUUUAGCAUAUAUAUUAUAUUUCUAUGAGAAAGAUAAAUAAGUUUUAUAUUGUUAAAUUUAUUAAUAAAAAAAAAAUUCAGUGGCUGUUUUUCAUGUAAAAUGGGUAUCAAUCAAUCAAUAUAUUUUUCGAUAAAAGAUCUUACAAUCAAGGUCAUUUACAAAUAGUUAAAAGCUAAUCUUAAGUAAAUACCGUGAAAUAGGAUUGAUAAUACAAAUAAUGAUAAGAAUAAUACAAAUAAUGAUAAUUAUAAUGAUGAUAAAUUAAAAGUUAUAAAAACAAUAAGAUAAUUAUAUGAUAUGAACCAAUAUUAGUUUUAAAACAACAAUUGAAUAUAAUGCACACACAGGAAAGUUACAAACAGCUGUCGACUGACAAAAUGUAACAACCUACCAUGUAACUAAAACAAUUACUGCAAAAAAAAGUAACAAUUGUUUAAUAAAAAUAAUAAUCUUAAUAUCAAUAAUAAUAAUAAAAACGGUAAAAGUAAAAUAGUUACUUCAUUAAAAAAUAACAAUAAAUGAACAAAACAAAAAUUAUUUAACUAAAAGUUAAGAGUUUUCAUAAUAAAUGACAUUAUUAAAAUAAAAAAGUAAAUCAUAUCAAGCAAACACAUAUUGUCACUCUAAAAUAAUAAAAUUUAAAAAAUAUUCUUUUUUCUUUCUUACAAAAUAGAACAAUUUUUACAUUUUAUUUUAAUGUGAUAAUGAUGAGCAAAUGUAAUUUAGAUGAUGAUCAUCAUAUCAUGAUGUUGGUUCACUUUCAGUAUUUUAUAGAAAUGUAUAUUAUCACAAAUUUGUAUAUUUAAGUUCAGAAACUAACACUCCACAGUUACUGAAAAAAAAAAGUUGUAAAUAAUAAAAAAAGACACUUGCUCCAGCCCGUGCUAUUCCUCUUUUAACAUUUUUAUGUAUUGAAAAUUUGAUCAUUUAAAAAUAAGUAACUUUUUAAAACAAGGCUCUGCUUCUGAAGUUUUAGAAAAGGAUGUAUUUUUAUACUUUUUUCAUUUGAAUAUUCUUUUUUAUUUUUGUAACUGAAUUCCAAAAUGUUUUGAAACAAUCUUUUAGUUAGUUUAUGUAAAUAGGACACAAAUAUGCAUCAAAAUUUAUCAAGUUAAAUUGAUGGACAUACUUUUUUCGAAAGCAAUGAGUUAGACAACUGAUGGGAUGGAGACCCAUCCACUUCUAUGGCAUUGUAUUUUAUUGACUAGAAAGUUUUUUGUUUUUUUAAUGAAGAAUUUAUUUAAAAGACUUCAUUAUAAGGUGACAAUUUCUUAAUUUUUAGCGCUUUAAUUCUAAAAAAUGUGCUUUGAUUGAAUAAAAUUGAAAAUAUUUUGUUGUUGCCUAUUGAGAUGAUAUCAACUUAGUUGCGUGCUGAUCAGUUGCUGGAUGAAUUAAAGCUCUCAUAGCUCCCUGAAUCAGUAUUGUAUCAUCAGUGGCAUCUAAUGCUAAAAUUGAAGCACAUAGUAAGCAUUAGUAAACUGAACUUAACUGUUUCAUUAUUGUUAAUUUUUUGUUAUUUUAGUUUUUGUGGUCUUAAGUGACAUCUAAUGGAUGUUUAUCUGUAAGAUGGUUUCUUGCCACUGUGAGCAAAAAAACACUUCAUUGCAUUGAUGCUGUGAAAAUAAAAGCUUUAACCUCAGGAGCAUCAGAAGAAGAGUUUGAACAUUAACUGAAGAGAUAUUUUUAGCUUUUCGGGGAUCAAAAUGGCGGACGAACAGCUUGAGAGGAACGUUCUUUGUAUAAAAAGUUAUUUUCAUAAAUAACAAUUUGAACUUUUAAUAA